AAGCAGUGAUGACAAAUUAUGUGUAUGAAAAAUGAUGUAUAAUUCUAUACGCUAUACUGAGCUUUUG